rnacentral:rRNA from 1 species
UUCGCAAUGCCCGAAAGGGUGACGAAGCGACGCCGCGUGUGGGAAGAAGGCCUUCGGGUUGUAAACCACUGUCGGGAGUUAGGAAAUGUAAGGGUGCUAAUAGUAUCCUUACUUGACUAAGGCUCCGGAGGAAGCCACGGCUAACUCUGUGCCAGCAGCCGCGGUAAUACAGAGGCGGCAAGCGUUGUUCGGAAUUAUUGGGCGUAAAGAGCACGUAGGCGGCCUUGUAAGUCAGUUGUGAAAGCCUCCUGCUUAACGGAAGAACAGCAGCUGAUACUGCAAGGCUAGAGUACGGAAGGGGAGAGUGGAACUUCUGGUGGAGCGGUGAAAUGCGUAGAUAUCAGAAGGAACACCGGCGGCGAAGGCGACUCUCUGGUCCGUAACUGACGCUGAGUGUGCGAAAGCUAGGGGAGCAAACGGGAUUAGAUACCCCGGUAGUCCUAGCCGUAAACGAUGGGCACUAAGUAGAGGGGUUUU